rnacentral:rRNA from 1 species
GACUUUGUGGCAGUGUCGGCCUAAGUGGUUUGUACGGUGUUUACUUUGUCCUUUUUUCUAGUGAGGCUGGAUGCACUUUGUUGUGUGUGCAGACGGACUAGGACGUUUACUUUGAAGAAAUUAGAGUGUUUAAGGCAGGCUUAUGCUUGAAUAUAUUAGCAUGGAAUAAUAGAAUAGGACUUUGGUUCUAUUUUGUUGGUUGAAGGACCAAGGUA